GAAGCUUUACUGUAUCUUGGAAUUGGGUUUGGGCUUUGCUUGCGCAGGAUAGGUGGGAGGCUUUGAAGAUAUUCUUGCGGGAAUAUUGGAGCCAAUGGUGAGAUACCACUCUAGUAAGGCUAAAAUUCUAACUUCGAACCGUUAUCCGGUCGAGGAACAGUUUCAGGUGGGCAGUUUGACUGGGGCGGUCGCCUCCCAAAAGGUAACGGAGGCGUGCAAAGGUUCCCUCAGGCUGGUCGGACAUCAGUCGUAGAGUGUAAAGGCAUAAGGGAGCUUGACUGCGAGACCUACAAGUCGAGCAGAGACGAAAGUCGGCCUUAGUGAUCCGACGGUUCCGAGUGGAAGGGCCGUCGCUCAACGGAUAAAAGUUACUCUAGG
rnacentral:rRNA from 5 species